GUGCCAGCAGCCGCGGUAAGACGUAGGGCGCAAGCGUUGUCCGGAUUUAUUGGGCGUAAAGAGCUCGUAGGCGGCUGGUCGCGUCGACUGUGAAAACCCGCAGCUCAACUGUGUGGUCUGCAGUCGAUACGGGCUGGCUGGAGUUCGGUAGGGGAGACUGGAAUUCCUGGUGUAGCGGUGAAAUGCGCAGAUAUCAGGAGGAACACCGGUGGCGAAGGCGGGUCUCUGGGCCGAUACUGACGCUGAGGAGCGAAAGCGUGGGGAGCGAACAGGAUUAGAAACCCGCGUAGUCC
rnacentral:rRNA from 1 species